AAGGCAAAGCAAAUAGUCGGUUUCGUCUCAAGAGUCUUGAGGGGACAUUGAAGCUAAUUCUACCGAGAAGGUCGGGGCAUACAAUCAGACCAUUAAGAAGCUUAAAUACAAAGGUUAAAUCACCACGAAUACGUCUUUCUCUCAAUGUUGUCAUAGCCAGCACUUCCCGUGCAUCAUCAUAAACAUGAUCGUUCGGGCCAGACAGCUGUUCAUGUAAUAGGGGGACCAUAUCAUUGAGCCAUACUCCAAUAAAGAAACCACCAAAGACAUGUACAAUCUCUUACAGGUCUCGACUGAUAGCUCUCUACAGUUACACAGAACAAAACCCAGAACCCUGGAGGACCUAACCACUAUAUUAUUUAUGUGUAUAUUAAAAUUUAAAUGAUCGUCAAAAUAAAUGCCAAGAUCCUUGA